rnacentral:rRNA from 1 species
CAAUAGCGUAUAUUAAAGUUGUUGCAGUUAAAAAGCUCGUAGUUGAAUUUCUGGCGGGCGCGCCGGUCUUCCAAGUGUUGUACUGGGCGCAGUCCGCCAUCCUUGUGGAGAGGGCUCGCAUUGAGUUGCGUGUCGGAUCUGCAUCAUUUACUGUGAAAAAAUUAGAGUGUUUAAAGCAGGCUGUCGCUUGAAUACAUUAGCAUGGAAUAAUAAGAUAGGACUUCGGUCUAUUUUGUUGGUUGCGAACCGAGGUAAAGAUUAAUAGGGAUAGUUGGGGGUAUUCAUAUUUAAUUGUCAGAGGUGAAAUUCUUGGAUUUAUGAAAGAUGAACAACUGCGAANGNAUUUACNAAGGAUGUUUNCAUUA